rnacentral:rRNA from 1 species
GACGAACGCUGGCGGCGUGCUUAACACAUGCAAGUCGAACGAAGUGGCGAACGGGUGAGUAACGCGUAAUCAACCUGCCCUUCAACGGGGGACAACAGUUGGAAACGACUGAUAAUACCGCAUACGGAAGAAGGGGAUUGCGUCUGAUUAGCUAGUUGGAGGGGGAACGGCCCACCAAGGCGAUGAUCAGUAGCCGGUCUGAGGGGAUGAACGGCCACAUUGGGACUGGGACACGGCCCAGACUCCUACGGGAGGCAGCAGGGGGGAAACUUCCGCAAUGGGCGAAAGGCUGACGGAGCAACGCCGCGUGAGUGAUGACGGCCUUCGGGUUGGAAAGCUCUGUUAAUCGGGACGCGGUACCGGAAUAGAAAGCCACGGCUAACUACGUGCCAGCAGCCGCGGUAAUAC